GAGAAAGUAAUAACGACCGAACAAGAACAAGUCGAAGAACAGGAACACAACAUCUUCUCUUUGUUUCCAGCAGCAUCAUUCGCUUCUUCUACUUCUUCUUCUACUA
rnacentral:ribozyme from 14 species